rnacentral:hammerhead_ribozyme from 1 species
ACUGCUGAGGAGUCCCAUAAUAGGACGAAACGGCCGUCCAGUGC